GCGCUCGUAGCUCAGUUGGAUAGAGCAUCAGACUCCGACUCUGAAGGCCGCAGGUUCAAUUCCUGUCGAGCGCACCA
rnacentral:tRNA from 1 species